rnacentral:lncRNA from 1 species
AGAGGGCGCCCGGGCUAAGGACCCGCUCGGCCAACCUCCGCCGGCUCGGCGGCGGACGCGGACUGGUGGCAGCGACAGAUUUGGGGACCAGCCUCGCCCAACGCAUCCGUCCCGCAGAUCCUGGCAGGAGCGAACAGCGAGAGGGACAGGAGUUGGACUGGGGAGGCAGCAAUCACACAAAAUUCAGAAAGCUGCUGUGUGCAACCUUAUGUCACGCGUAGCUCUGGGAUGCGCUUGGUAGAUGCUCUGCAAACACCAAAUGUAAAAGAAAAGAAAAGAAAUCCUCAAAAUUCCUUGGAAUCUUCCAUUUAAGUAAUCCCCUCUUAUCUAUGUCCUUGGACCCACGCAGGAUCCCUGUGUCUGUCUCUGGAAGAGUGAGAAUUGAUAUCCCAGUUUCUUAGACCACAAGACUUGAAAGACCCCUUAAACCAACCUACCCUUCCUCAAGAGGCAAAUGAGACUUAGAGAAGGCCAGAGCACAAGAUCUAAGCUUCUGAGCCGUUUCCAGCAAAUGAAGAAAGGGAGGCACAGGCACCCCUGCUUGGUUCUGUUAAAGGAGAGUUUGUCGUCUCUUCCUAUCCUGACAACAAAGAUUGACAGAUGAAUUAGGUCAUACUGUCAGGAGCCCACAGCCUAGAGAAGGAGACAGACAGAGACAGAUAUGCAAAGACGCCAUUAAAAUACAGAUGAUGAGGGCCAGGAGAGACAGAAGCACAAGGAAAUGGGAGCAGAGAGGAAGAGCUCCUAACACAGCUCAGAGGCCCAGGGAAGACGCCUGGGAGAUGGUCUUGAAAAAUAAGUCAGAGGUAGCUUAGAGAAGGAGGUGCACAUGCCUUCCAAGCGGAGGAAGAGCAGGUGCCAAGGCGCAGCAGUGUGAGAGCACACCUGCAGGGGACUGCAAGCAGUUACCCAUGGCUGCGGCAAAAAGCAAGUGGCAGGAGCUGAAGUUGUGUCUUCUGGCCAAGCUGGGGAGUCUGUCCGUUCUAGGUAUCAGGUCAUAGGAAGUCACUGCAAGAUUUGAAGUUUAAGGUGGCUAGAGUAGAUCUGUGCUCAUCGGGGGCAUGAAUUGGAGGGGGCAAGUUGGAGGCAGGGAGACCAGUGGGCAGAUAGUCAGUGAGGAGGGAGCCAGAGCCCAAGCCUCGGUCUCCUGACUCCCAGCCCAGUGUUCUCCCCACUUCUCCCACUCAUGCCUGCAGGUACCAGAUUGAGCAGCUAGAAAAUGACCAUACUAGAAGGCUGAGUGAGAAAGACCAAGCAGGGCUGGAGGGCCAGAAAGGUUUUCCAGAGCACAGGAUCUGGGUGGUUGGGAGGAACACGGGAAGGAAAGAAGGGGACACCAGAGACUGGCAGGUUUACCCUCAUGUGCACAUGAAGUUGCCACUUUUGUAAGUUACAAGUGAAUGCAUGUUGGCAAUUUCAUAUGGUUCAACUUACUGGGUGUCUGGAGCAACCUCAGCCUCUUAGCUACACACACACUUGGUGACAGACACCAAGCAGGCCAGAGUGCCCAGACGGUAUGUAUGAGAGCACAGGACAGCGCCAUGCUUCCCACACACAGAGCUCUGAGACCUGCAGCUCUGACAAGAGAUGUCCUUUAAAGAGUCUCCACUUUCCGGAGCUCCAAAACUCCCUACAAGGUCACCACUCUGCUGGUAAGGAUGAGGGGAAGUGAGAACUGAAUUCCACUGGAGGGAGGGUCAUGGUUCUCAUUGGAGAAUUAGAAGACACAAGUCAGAUAGUGGAUAAGAAAGAGCCUGAUCAAUUUAAAACAAUGAUGUGUGUAAAUAUGUGUGUGGAUUUAAAAAACCU